rnacentral:rRNA from 1 species
CCCUUAGACGUUCUGGGCCGCACGCGCGCUACACUGACGAAGGCAACGAGCUUUCCUUUACCGAAAGGUACGGGUAAUCUUUUGAAACUUCGUCGUGCUGGGGAUAGAUCCUUGCAAUUUUUGAUCUUAAACGAGGAAUGCCUAGUAAGCGCAAGUCAUCAACUUGCGUUGAUUACGUCCCUGCCCUUUGUACACACCACCCGUCGCUACUACCGAUUGAAUGGUUUAGUGAGGCCUUCGGAUCCGCGACUCGUUUGUGGAGAAGUUGGACAAACUCAGUCAUUUAGAGGAAGUAAAAGUCGUAACA